rnacentral:rRNA from 1 species
GACGAACGCUGGCGGCGUGCUUAACACAUGCAAGUCGAACGGAAAGGCCCUGCUUUUGUGGGGUGCUCGAGUGGCGAACGGGUGAGUAACACGUGAGUAACCUGCCCUUGACUUUGGGAUAACUUCAGGAAACUGGGGCUAAUACCGGAUAGGAGCUCCUGCUGCAUGGUGGGGGUUGGAAAGUUUCGGCGGUUGGGGAUGGACUCGCGGCUUAUCAGCUUGUUGGUGGGGUAGUGGCUUACCAAGGCUUUGACGGGUAGCCGGCCUGGGAGGGUGACCGGGCACAUUGGGACUGCGGUACGGCCCAGACUCCUACGGGAGGCAGCAGUGGGGAGUCUUGCGCAGUGGGCGGAAGCCUGAUGCGGCAACGCCGCGUGCGGGAUGACGGCCUUCGGGUGGUAAACAGCUUUCGCCUGUGACGAAGCGUGAGUGACGGUAAUGGGUAAAAAAGCACCGGCUAACUACGUG